UAAGCAAGUGAUGUUAAUGAGGAUAAAGGAGAAGAGCAUCAUUCAGGAAAAUGGAGUUUCCUGGGAAGCCCUUACAGUCUGGAGUCAUGAGCCCACCAGAAACUGGGGUUGCAGGUACCAUGUAGCUGCUGGUGACUGGAAACGACUGUCCUUCUGGAGGUCCCAUUCCUUGCAGGUUUGUGGUCUUAUUUUUGUAAAAACUGCUUUCUGAGACACUUCAAAAAUCACCAUUUAACCAAACUGGUGAACCCAUGUGGCUUUGAGGAUUUUCCCCACCAAAUCUGUUGGUCUUGCCCCUUCUCUGUGUUGUGCAUGAAUGCCAGCAUUGGCCCUCUCCUGUACCUGGGGUUGAGUGCACAGUAAGUGAGGAAGGACUCUUGCCUAUUCUAAUUCUUUUGGGCGGAAGGGAGGAAGUGGUAGAUACCAAUCUCUCUCUCUUGCACGUCCUUCCACGCACAUCUUGCUGGUGGCCACCCAAACUGUCCCCUAGAGAUGCUGCUCUACCGUGACUAAUUUCCUGGCUUUUAUUUUGAAAAUGCAGUCAUCAAAGUUGCGCAGAUCAGCUGGGGCAAGUUUCAGCCUCUUCUGUAUAUGAAAACCUAGAAAGCAUAUUUCUGGGAAGAGGUGUUGGAGAUAGGUUGGGUUUUUUUGUGUUGUUUUUUUUUUUUUUUGGGGGGGGGGGUGUGAUUUGAAGAGAGGGAGGGCAGUGGUGAAUGUUGAGGAUUUUAAUAAUUUAAUUGGCGUACCUUGAUUUCAAAAUCACAUCUAAGUGCAUUGGAAGUAGUAGAUGCAAACUCUGCUGGGUAUGAAGACUAACCAAGGCUGUAAUCAUUAAAAAUUUGUACUGUUAAUUGUAAUGCUGUGAAAGCUCUGAGUCUGAUUGGCAAGAUGAUCCACCUGUGUAAUAAACAUUGCCAUGCCUUUCCUCUGCUGUUUAUACAAAUAUUUUUGUUGGUAGUAUUUUGUGGACAGCACUACUUAUUGUGACUAUGUGUGUUAGACAUAACUCUGUUGGUU
rnacentral:lncRNA from 1 species